rnacentral:snRNA from 1 species
UUUUUCUUCGGCAGCACAUAUACUAAAAUUGGAACGAUACAGAGAAGAUUAGCAUGGGCCCCUGCGCAAGGAUGACACACAAAUUCGUGAAGCGUUCCGUAUUUUU